UACGUAGGUGGCGAGCGUUGUCCGGAUUUACUGGGCGUAAAGGGAGCGUAGGCGGACUUUUAAGUGAGAUGUGAAAUACUCGGGCUCAACUUGAGUGCUGCAUUUCAAACUGGAAGUCUAGAGUGCAGGAGAGGAGAAUGGAAUUCCUAGCGUAGCGGUGAAAUGCGUAGAGAUUAGGAAGAACACCAGUGGCGAAGGCGAUUCUCUGGACUGUAACUGACGCUGAGGCUCGAAAGCGUGGGGAGCAAACAGG
rnacentral:rRNA from 1 species